GCCCGGCUAGCGCAAUGGUAGCGCGCAAGACUUCUACUAAUACUUUCAAAUGUGUGAUGUUCAAUCUUGAGGCUGUGGGUUCGAGUCCCACGUCGGGUG